GGAUUGACUCGGCUCGUUCCGUAAAGCGCCGGAGGAUUGGCGGGGGCGUCGGGAGAGAGGAGGCUCGAAACUACAUUUCCCAUGACGCAGUGAGAAUUUAAAACCAAAACAAUUGGACAGCACUUGUUUUGACAACUGUGCGGCACUGUGCCACGGGACCCUGGUCUUUGAAACCUUGGCGUGCGCGAGAAUUUCCCAGUGAGUUUGUUAAAAUGCAGAUUCCUCGGGUCUGCGUAGACAGACUGUGCCCCACGCUUUUCUAAGUCAGUUGUUUCUCGGGCUACCCUUUAAGAGACACUGCUGGAUGGCCUGGUGAAGAAAAUACAGAAACAGAUGGGUACAAGAACUAAGAAAACGGCUAAGAAAGUGUUUUGGUCCUGACUACUACCAUUUCGCUCUGUGAUUUGGGGCAAUUCACAUUGGCUUCCCUGCCCUUUCUUCUUUGUCAAAAGACAAAAUCACAACAAAUUUAGUUUAAAGAUUUUUUUUUCUUAAGAGACGGACUCUGGCAAUGUUGCCCAGGCUGGAAGGCAGUGGCUAUUCACAGGUGCGGUCAUAGCAAUCAUGGCUAUCACAGGUGCAUCCUGGAACUCCUGGCCUCAAGUGAUCCUUCUGCCUCAGCCUCCGGAGUAGCUGGGACUUAAGGUAUGACAGAGCCAAAACUCCAAGUCAUGUCAGUAGGGCAUGCCCAAUAGAAAAUGCUUUGACAUCUAACAACACCCAGAACCAAUGAUUCCUCCCUGUGGUACCAAGAAGACCUAGACAUGAUCGGAACCUAAAUGCUGGAACUCUUUCGGGAGCAAAGGGUCUGUUGACCAGAAAGAUCCAGGGCUAAAAUCCACCUCAACAUACCUGUGUAGUCAAAUUUGACACCCUCCAAUCAGACCCUGCCAAGCUGGGUCUUAUACGUUUCCUUGCCAUCUGUAUUAGUCUGUUUUCACGCUGCUGAUAAAGACAUACCUGAGACUGGACAAUUUACAAAAGAGGUUUAAUUGGACUUACAGUUCCACGUGGCUGGGGAAACCUCACAAUCAUGGCAGAAGGCAAGGAGGAGCAAGUCACAUCUUACAUGGAUGGCAGCAGGCAAAAACAAAGAGCUUGUACAGGGAAACUCCUGUUUCUCAAAACCAUCAGACCUCAUGAGACUUAUUCACUAUCACAAGAACAGCACAAGAAAGACCUGCCCCUAUGAUUCAAUUAUCUCCCACUGGGUCCCUCCCACAACAUGUGAGAAUUCAAGAUGAGAUUUGGGUGGGGACACAGCCAAACCAUAUCACCCUCUGACCCCUUAAAUCUUGCCCCAGACCCCAAAUUAGGAGACAGAUGUGAGCCAUGCCUCCAGUCUCCUUGCUGGGUGGCCCUGCAAUAAAGCCUUUCUGUUCUCAAAA